rnacentral:rRNA from 1 species
CUUGUAGGCGGUUCGGUUAGUCGGGUGUGAAACCUCUGGGCUCAACUCAGAGACGCCACCCGAUACUGCUGUGACUAGAGUGCGGUAGGGGAGCGGGGAAUUCCUGGUGUAGCGGUGAAAUGCGCAGAUAUCAGGAGGAACACCAGUGGCGAAGGCGCCGCUCUGGGCCGUAACUGACGCUGAGAAGCGAAAGCGUGGGGAGCAAACA